AGAUUGAACGCUGGCGGCAGGCCUAACACAUGCAAGUCGAGCGGUAGAGAGGUGCUUGCAUCUCUUGAGAGCGGCGGACGGGUGAGUAAUGCCUAGGAAUCUGCCUAGUGGUGGGGGAUAACGUUCGGAAACGGACGCUAAUACCGCAUACGUCCUACGGGAGAAAGCGGGGGACCUUCGGGCCUCGCGCCAUUAGAUGAGCCUAGGUCGGAUUAGCUAGUUGGUGAGGUAAUGGUUCACCAAGGCGACGAUCCGUAACUGGUCUGAGAGGAUGAUCAGUCACACUGGAACUGAGACACGGUCCAGACUCCUACGGGAGGCAGCAGUGGGAAUAUUGGACAAUGGGCGAAAGCCUGAUCCAGCCAUGCCGCGUGUGUGAAGAAGGUCUUCGGAUUGUAAAGCACUUUAAGUUGGAGAAGGUUGUAACUUAAUACGUUGCAACUUUGACGUUACCGACAGAAUAAGCGCCGGCUAACUUCGCGCCAGCAGCCGCGGUAA
rnacentral:rRNA from 1 species